rnacentral:sRNA from 2 species
CUAUUUGAUAUGUUGCCAAUUCGCAACAAAAUGAUCGCUGCCCUUCAUACCCUUUCACAUGCUCUUCUCUUCGUCCUAAUCCUCCCUCCUAUCGGCGGUAUGAUGACCUCCAACACCCAAGGGCUUUUAGGACGCACUGCCACUUCCCCCUUCCCAUCAGGUCCUGGCACAGGCACCAGGUCUAUAUCAUAAUUCAUGAGCAAGCACGCCAAGAGCAUUUUCGUCUCAGCAUCUGCGACAAAGCGGCCUGGACAUGCGUGCCGGCCGUGGCCGAAAAAAAGAUUAUUGGCGGAUGUCACGGUGAAAGUUGGCCUUGGGGGCGUUGCUCCUAUGCCGUUAGAUUGCUCACUAUGAUGGUCUCGUUUCGGCUGCGCAAAGCGCCAGGGGUUAAACUUCAUGGGGUCUUCGAAGAUGUCGGGAUCGCAGUAACUGCCGCGCGAGAGGAUGGAAACCAUCGCUCCCUUGGGGAGGGGGACGCUGAUGGUGCUGGCUUCGCCGCUACUAGCUUCGCUCUCUAUGGCGGGUGAAUGGACAUUAUCGGCCAUCACAGAGCGCGUGACGGAGCGAUGUACAAAGCUGUGCAUUCGUACCGUUUCGCGCAUCACGCUGUCCAUCAACACCAACUUAGCGACGGAAGCUUUUGACCAGCCGCCUGUUUUCUCUUCGUUUUCAGCUAGCUCGGUAGUAGGAGAUGGGAUAGUGUAGUAUUCCCUUGGAAGCACAGAUUCGAUCUCCUCCCGGAGUAAUGCGAUUGUGUUGAAUUCUUUGUCGGAUGCGAUGAUGUUGAAGAUUAGGUUUGUCGCAGUUGCAGUUGUCUGAUGGAAGGAACCCAGGUUAUUGAUGCAGAUCCGGUAGGCAAGGCCGUGGAGGUCGUGUAAAUCCUCUUUAGAGCGAUCGCUUUGAGCGAAACGAAGCAUUAAUUGGACGAUCCAAACGCCCCUUUAUCACCGGUUUCAAAAUCCUUUCCAGCUUCCAGUAGUUUAAACGGAAUGGAAGGUACAGUAUCGGGCACAGGACAGGGCGGAGCGGUACAGGUAUGAAGGGGACCAAGCCCGCGUUUGUUGCGAAGAGAUCCACGAAUUUAGAGGAGGCGCGGAGAUAUUCUUCAUCCCUGCCUGUGCUUUGAUAUUAAUAUAUCGUCACUUAUCAAUAAAUAGAUACGAUCCCGAUGAAAUCCAAGUGAAGUAUACGUCUAGAGCGAAGAAUAACCACUUACAAAGCGGUUCCCCUACCGUAAACUGACUCGAGAACUGCGCAAUUACGAGUUUCAAUGUAUCCCAAAGUGGAAUUUCCUCCCACUCGUCCUUGUUCGGAAUCCACCUCUCAACUGCAUUUUGCAUUUCCUUACCCAUUGGUCCCAGAUAUCUGUCAAAGUUGCGAUUCACAUCGCGAUUGAGGAUCAUAGCCAGCCAUGGAUCGGUGACGUACUUGUGGUGGUCGGCUGCCCAGUCGAUCUGAUCCACCUCACGAAAUGCCUCCUGCAUGUUUAGGACUUUGUCUGGUUGGGUUACCAGCCACCGCAGGGUGCCCUUUGGUAGGAGAAUUUCAGUCCGCAAUCCGAGGCCUGGGACGAGGCAUGGCUGGCCUUUUUUCAGGUACUAUUUAAUACGUUUCGUUAGUUGACAUAGUA